UCGGUUACAUUGGAUGCAAAUGUAAUUGAAUUGCAGGCUCAAACACAACAUGCAAUUGAAAUUGAUUACAGUGACGAUUACUGUAACCAAGAGGAUGACACUAUAAUAAAGUACAUCAGUGAUCAUGAGGAGAAUGAAGGUAAUAAUAGUACCAAUGAUGAUGAAGUUGAUAGCACAUUUGAUGGUGACGACAUUGGCUUGUGAUGUAACCUCAUAAGAGGGUCCAUAUCUUUGGACUGAUUACAAACAAAGUAGACGAAAUUGCAGAUCACAGGUGACGUCGACAAGACUUUAGCUAUAGUGUACGAGUUGACAAAUCUAUAGUUCACGGGGAUUGCUUUGUGUGGACAAGAAGUUGUUUAUUUACUACCACCCUUUUCUUUUGAACUCUUAGAGUCGCUUUGUUAAUCAUUUCACUAGUGUCAUGCGUAAUUUUCCAUUAUUGGAAACUUGAAAUAGUAUUAGACUUCUUUUCGUAUUUGGAGAUGGAUUUAGUAUUAUUAUAUUGUUGAUGCAUGUUAUGGCUUGCU